UAGUUCGUGGUUCCCCUGGGAUUACAGGGUUGUUGAAGCAUGUUGAUGAGCGUAAUCAGUUUGACAUUUUGAGUGAUGAGGGGGGUGAAUCGUUGGCGCUGGCUAUAGUGCAGUUGAACCCUAACUUGCUUGUUAUAGAUGGGAUUUUUAGGAGUACGGGCAAGAGCCCUGUGGGAGGUAGUAGGUGUGAUUCCUUGCCGUUAUCAUAAACUGGUGUUCAUGGAAUGUUAUGGGGUUGAAUGACCCUAUCCAAUGUAGGGUUGUGGCGGAUUUUCUUCGUUCUUCUUUUGUCAGUUUUUGUUGUUUGCUUGAGACUCGGGAUAGGCAGGAGAACUUUGAUGCGGUGUUUGAUAGGUUUAGGGAGGCUGUGUGUGUAACUACAGUUUGAGUGGAGUUGGGAGGAUUUGGGUGUUGUGGCGGAGGAGUGUUUAUGAUUUCAUCCCGGAUGUCAGUAGGGAUCAGGUUAUGUUUGGGGCCUUGGUGGAUAUUGCAUCUAAUCUUCGUGUGCAUGUAGGUGCGAUCUAUGCUUCUAAUUUGGUGAGGGAUAGACGUAACUUUUGGUGUAGUUUGGUUGAUGUAUGCUCUACUUGGAAGUGUCCUGGAAUUAUUAUGAGUGAUUUUAAUGCUAUUCGUAAUAGUUCAGAGGCUUAUUCGUAAUAGUUCAAAGGAUGGUGGUUUUCCUAGUUUGGGAGAGAUGGAGGAGUUUGAUAGGGCUUUGUUGGGAACGGAUCUGGUUGAGCUAGGUGUGCUGGGGAACUAGUUCACUUGGACUAGUAAAGUUCAAGGGAAUGGUCUCUUACGUCGUUUGGAUCGUUGUGUGGUUAAGGAGGCCUGGGUAGUGGCUUAUCCUUACUCGAAGGUUAGAGUUGGUUCGUGGGGGAUUUUUGAACAUAGUCAUCUUUUGGUUUCGAGGGGUGAGGUGAGGAGUCGUCCUUCGCCCUCGUUCCGUUAUUUUAGCCAUUGGGCGGAGUCUGAUGAUUUUAUGGAUGCUGUUUCAGCUGUGUGGAGAAGGCGUUCGGAGGUUUCCCUUAUGGUAAGUUUCUUGAGGAAUCUGAGGGCUUUGAAGUUGGUUUUGCAUGCUUCUUUUGGAAGACGUCUUUCUUUGUUGUCUGAUAAGGUGCAGGCGACUAGAUAGGUUAUGGAGGUUGCUCAGGCAGCAGUUAAGAGGGAUCCCUCCUCGGAGUCAUUAUGUUCAGAGGCUACCCAGACCACUGAGGUGUUCUGGUCGGCGGCUAGACUGGAGGAUGUGUCUCUUAUGCAGGAAUCCCGGGUGAGAUGGUUGGAGUUGGGUGAUUAGAACUUUGCAUUUUUUUAUCGCUCCGUUCAUUCUCGAUGUAGUAGGAGUGGUUUGUUUUCAGUUGUUGAUUCUGAGGGCAUUCGACAGUUUUCUUAUGAGCGGGUGGCAGGAGUGGUUGUAGAUUUUUUUUCGUAGUAGUUUGAGGUCUCAGUUUAUGUGGUAUAGGGAUUUACUUCUCAGAUUGGGGAUAUUGUGCAGUUCAGCUGGCCUGUGGAGUGUGUAAAGGCUCCUGGUCGUCCAGUGAUUAGGGAGGAGGUUCAAAGGGCUUUAUUUUCUAUAAAGUCUGGGAAGGCCCCAGGCCUUGAUGGGUUCUCAAUGGAUUUUUAUAAAUCUGCGUGGAAUGUAGUUGGUGAUGACUUGUGAUGCAGUUAUAAAUUUUUUUGAGUCGUGUUACCUGCCUUGUAGAGUUAACGCCACUGCUAUCACGCUUAUUCCUAAGUGAGCUGGUGCUGAGCGUAUGGAAGACGUUCGUCCUAUCUCUUAUUGUAAUGUGGUGUAUAAGUGUAUUUUGAAAGUUUUGGCAGAGAGGUGUGGCUUCCAACUUUUAUUAGUGGUAACCAGUCUGCUUUUGUGCCUGGCAGGUCUAUUACUGAUAACAUUCUUUUGUGUUAGGAGCUUGUGGGGGGUAAUCAGUUAAACAGGGGGGAACUGCGGUGUGUGUUGAAGAUGGAUCUCCAAAAAGCUUAUGAUUCAGUGAAUUGGUAUUUUCUAUUUAGAGUGCUUUUGGCUAUUGGUACUCCUGUAUAGUUUAUUAGUUGGGUGCAGGCUUGUGUCACGUCUUCUUCUUUCUCUGUAAUGAUCAAUGGAUCUCUUGAGGGUUUUUUCCCGGGUAGGAAGGGACUGAGACAAGGUGAUCUAUUAUCUCCCUUUCUGUUCGUGAUGAUAAUUGAAGUUCUUUCGAGGUUGCUGAAUAAGCUUCCUAUGUGGUUUAGGUUCCAUGAUCGUUUUGAGCGUGUUGGCCUGACUCAUUUGGCUUUUGCUGAUGAUCUCAUGAUUUUCUGUGCGGCUGACUAGGGUUCUUUGGAUUUUGUGAGGAGGGUUCUGGUGGAUUUUGCGGAGAUGUCGGGGUUAGUUGCAAAUGUGGGGAAGAAUUCUAUGUUUGUUACAGGAGUGGAUUCUGUUGAGGUUGAGAAGCUUGCUACCUUUAUAGGGUUUGCUUUUGGUUCUCUGCCUGUCAGAUAUUUGGGGUUACCAUUGUUGGUUGGUCUUAAGGUUGUGGAUUACGCUCCGUUGAUCCAGAGGAUUACUGCUCAUAUUAGGAGUUAGGCGGCCCGUUUGCUUUUGUUUACUGGGAAGUUGCAGUUAGUGAAGUCUGUCCUUCAGUCAUUUUAAGUGUUCUGGUCCAGCAUCUUUGUUUUGCCUGCUUGUGUCUCUAAUGAGGUUGAUUGUCUUCCGCGGGCUUAUUUGUGAAGAGGCAGGGUGGAAGGUCGUGGUGGUGCGCGGGUUGCGUAGGAUGAGGUUUGCUUACCGAAGUAGGGGGGUUGGGCUUUAAGUAUGCGGUGUCGUGGAACCAGGCAGCUAUUAUGAAGCUUCUUUGGCUUCUGUUGGUUAAGUUCGACUCUUUGUGGGUGGCGUGGAUGGAAGAGUAUGUUUUGAGGGGGCGAUCUCUGUGGGCGAUUCGAUGUGAGGCUGGGAGAUCCUGGUGCUUGAGGGCUAUCCUUCGUUGUCAGGAUAAAUUCAAGCAAUUGGUUCGUUUAAAGAUGGGUGAUGGGAGAAGGUGUUUUGUGUGGUGGGAUCCGUGGUUGCCUGGAGGUGCGAUUUUGGAGACAUAUGGUCUUAGGGUGGUGUUUGAUGUGCAGCGAGUAGUAGGGAGGCUUGAUUAUCGGAUUUUUUUUUGAUGGAGAGGGGGGUUGGAGGUGGCCUUCUGUUUUGCGUGAGUUGCGUGAGAUUUGGGUAUGAUUCAGGUAGCGGGGGCCUAGGGUGAGUGGUGAGGAUUAUUGGGGGUGUGGGUGCCGAGUGAUAAUGGUCGAUUUUCUAUUGCGAAUGCAUGAGAGAGUUUGUGUCAUCGUCUUUCUAUGGUGUCUUGGGUGCGACUUCUGUGGUUUGGGGAUGGUAUUCCUUGGCACUUUUUUUGUGCCUGACUGGUUGUAAGGGACAGGUUAGGUACUCGGGAUUGGGUUAGGAGGUGGAAUGUCUUGUCUGAUGGUGCGUGUCGUGUGCGUAGGGGUUAGGAGCCUCGGGAUCAUUUAUUUUUCAAGUGUGGGUUUGGGAGAGAGGUAUGGUCGGGUGUGUUGUGUCUGUUGGGGUCGUGUCAUCGAGGUGGUUGGGUGGGAUGUCGAGCUGAUUUGGGUUUGUCAAGUGGGGGUAUGAAGUAAGUUGUUUCGAGUCUUCUGGUGUGCUUUUAUUUAUUAUAUCUGGCAGGAGAGGAAUCGUCGGCUGCAUGGAGGUCGUCCAAGGACGACGACUACUUUAUUCCAUCUUAUUGUCUCUAUGGUUCGUGCUCGUGCUGUUUCUUGGCAUCUUGAUGAAAGAACUUUAUUCAAAGAGAACCAGUGAGCGGAAGCAAGAUCGUUCCAAACCCCAUUAUGACAGAACAUACACAUUUACAAUCAAAUAGCAACAGUACAAACGUUCAAGAGCACAAACAUCACGCCUCAGCAAUCUCCUUGAAUAGAAACAAGCAACACUCGAUCCUCGAUCAGUAAGAAGACACCAACACGAGGCUACCUUGGUUUUCUCGGUGUGAGAAUCUAGGAGUUGUGGGCUAUGUAUGGAUUUGGUAGAUGGAAGGGGGAAUUGACAGAUCGUGUAGACGAUUGAGUAAGUGGGAGAAGUCUAGAGUCUAUCGUAUAGACUAAGUACUCGAUCGUUUAGUAAGUGAGUGUCUAUCGUAUAACAAACUCUAUGCACGACCGUUUAUGCUCUCAAGCUAACGUAUAACUUUUUCUUUUGUGCAUUCGAUUAUCAAUCGCUUAACAAUCGCAUCAUAAAAAAAAAUGAAAACGAUUUUCAUUUUAUCCAUCAGUUACCAUAACUGAUCACAACUUCCCACUAAGUUGGUUAUUUGGAGAAAAAACCGAAACCAAUUA